CUCAGCAACACUCUGCUUCCUUCUGUCAACAGAGAAAUGAACCCUGAGUGUGUGCAUGAGGAGAGAUGCUGUGGAGAAGAAUCAGUUGAUGAGAGACUUAUGGCUGUGAGGACAAAAGGAAUGAACGAGCUGCCUUCAGAUUAUGCUAAGCAGCGGAAGCAGAGGUGCAUGUUGAUUUUGGGAGCAGAAGGAUUUCCCAUAUUGCUAGUGAAGUGUCUGUUUAAAGGUAACACCUUCUCUGCAGCAUUUGUGAAGAAACUGCAUUCCGGUGUUAGACAAUCCUAAAGGUCAGAAGAAAGAAAACCAGAAAGAGAGAAAGGUAAAC